UUUUCGAAAGGGUAAACCCCGGGUGACCGGGGGGCACAAAGCCUACGGCUCCUGGGUAUGCGGCUUCAGGAGGGCCGGGUUACCGAA
rnacentral:ncRNA from 1 species